rnacentral:rRNA from 1 species
UACGGAGGGUGCAAGCGUUAUCCGGAUUCACUGGGUUUAAAGGGAGCGCAGGCGGGCUGGUAAGUCAGUGGUGAAAUACCCGUGCUUAACAUGGGAACUGCCAUUGAUACUAUUGGUCUUGAAUAUCGUUGAGGUUUGCGGAAUGGGUCAUGUAGCGGUGAAAUGCUUAGAUAUGACAUAGAACACCAAUUGCGAAGGCAGCUGGCUACACAUAUAUUGACACUGAGGCACGAAAGCGUGGGGAUCAAACAGG